AAUAGCGGACGUCAGCAUCGUCAGCAUCGUGAGAAAUGUUGGAACAUCGCAGCACACCACUGGCCAAGAAAUACUAUUCGGUGAUGGAAGAACCACAUGCCGAGGACUUAUCCUUCACCUGACAAACAAUAACACCAACCAUGCACAUAGAGUACUAGAGAAUACUGGACUAUGGAAGUUUCCUGAAAUGAAGGUUGUUGUGAUUGGUGAGACGACAGGAAUGAAAACGGUUCUUCUCCAUCAAAGCUUUCGUAAUACCAUUCACAUUCUCUAUAUAGCUCUUCACUAUCAGACCAAAAUUAUCACAACAGACCCUGAGACACGAGUUAAAUUCACCCUCCACAUCUUGAAAGAAGGCCUACAACUAGAGCGUGUCAGUGUUUAUCGGAAGUGCCUUUACUGUGACGAUGGGAAGGCAAGUGUUCGCUUUAUCCAAUCAAAUAUCAGCUCACAUGAUUCCCUGUUUGAUGGUAA